GGAGUUUGGGCCGUGUCUCAGUCCCAAUGUGGCCGGUCACCCUCUCAGGUCGGCUACUGAUCGUCGCCUUGGUGGGCCGUUACCUCACCAACUAGCUAAUCAGACGCGGGACCAUCCUAUGCCGUAAAGGCUUUUCACACUGCAUCAUGCGAUGCUGUGCGCUUAUGCGGUAUUAGCAGUCGUUUCCAACUGUUAUCCCCCUGCAUAGGGCAGGUUUCCCACGCGUUACUCACCCGUCCGCCACUCAGUCACAAACAUCUUCCACCCGAAGGCUUCUGUCGUAAGUGCUUCGUUCGACUUGCAUGUGUUAAGCACGCCGCCAGCGUUCAUC
rnacentral:rRNA from 1 species